ACGACCAUCCCUUCUCCCUUCGCCUCCCCGUCCAUGCAUCGGACCAUCUGGAAGGUUCGUGGCUCCUCCCGCUCUCGCAUCUGCAGAUCUACGUGUCCGCCCCGUUCGCUCCCGCUGGCAGCGCCAAAACCCAUGGCCUCUCGCGCGACCACCCCACCUGCUCCUGCCCACCUCCGCCUCCAUGCCACGUCCCUCUUCGCAGCUCCUCCCACUCCCUCACGCGCGUGCCCCGCGAUGCUGUGGUCAACUCACAGGCCGUAGACCUGUCUGCUCCCGCGAACGAUGAAGUCGCGAGGCGUGACCGCACAGGCCUGAUGCCUCCACCACCCGAGUCCUCCACCCAUCCACCGACGGUGGAAUAGGGUUUUCCACCGACCGACGAAUCCUGGCGAUGAUGCGCUCGCCGACAGUGUCUUCGUAUGAGCCAUUGGGAUGUGUGAAUAGGUGCAUGGGGGACUUCAACUGACGCGUAUGGGAAGCAAGGUAUCGUGCUUGCAGGUUGUUUGAUCAAAUGUCCCAAUAGUUUUUUUUACCUACCACCGUUACUACUUAACUUGCUUGUUGUAUACGCCUAUUGUGGAUCGUGCGCGCAGACUGUUUGAACAAAUGCCCCAGCAGUUUUUAAUGCCACCUCCAUUACAUAGCUUGCUUGCUGCAGACAUUACUGAAAUACAGUUAUACUAUAUCUUUUAUUGUUUGGGUGUCACACCAUUACAUUGCGUUUUUUUUCUUCAACUCAGCCCAAAUCUCUGUAGUGCUAUUUUUUCCAUGCACUUUUUCCUCUUUCUUCUAGACGUUCACAUUUUGCUGCAUCCAUUGCUUUACCAUUUCUUUUUCCCCAUGAUCUAUUGGUGUCCCAUUUGCCGGAGAGAUCCCGCCACGCAUGCAUCCAUGUUCUGCACUCCUUUUAUUCCUUCGGCCUCACCACAUAUCCUAAGUAGAACACAACAACUUUACACAUCUGAUUUAGUGGGUUUGUGUUCUAUUCGAUUUUUUCCUCUUUUCCCCUGCAGGUCAUGAGAUCAGAUCAACUGUUGCAGACAGAGUACGUCAAAGGCAACGUGGAAGCAACCUAUUGAUGUACACAAAGCACAGUGGUGGCUUUUAGCUGUUCUAAUACUGACGGCUUCACCCUUGUCUAGAUCCUUGGUUAUGGAGCUUUAGCGAGGUUAGUGAAGACGGGUUAUUCCAUAUCUAGAGAUGAAGCUGCAAAAGCAUUGUAUGCUAUAUCAUCUUUGAUCAGAAAUAAUGUAAAUGGUCAAGAGGCAUUCAAUUCAGAAAAUGGGAGUGCAAUGUUGCAGGUAAUGACAAUUUUUAGCUUCAAAAUUAUGGGCACAGGAAUGGUUGACAUGUGACAACUUCCCCUAUUUUACUGAACAUGUUGGUCAACAACAUAUUGAUGUUAGGCUAUAUAAGAAGGCAGUGUUUUUUAGUAACACAUUUGGCAUACUUUCAGCUAAAUUUUAGAAUCGCUCAACUUCCUUUGUUUAGUGAUGGCCUUUUUCUGAAGUCAAUAGUUGAUAUGUUAUCAAGGUUUGACCUAGACCUUCAGAAUAAGGUAAGAUUGGAGUUGCUACCAGUUCCUAUUAUUCUGAAUAUGCUUGUUACCAUUAUUUAGCUGCACAGUCACAUUUUUAAUGACAAUUAAUACUUUUGCAUAAUAAUAUUGGUAAUACAUGCUUAAAUAAGCAUUUUUGGUGAUACAACAAAAUUGUUAUGCCAUUGGUUGGUUGUCAUUGAAGUCUUGAAGAUAUGCAUUAGUUUUCGAAUUGUUGUCAUAGAAGCUUAUUUCUCUUAUAUGAAAGCCGGUUCAGAACGGCGUUACUGACGCUAUCCAUGUCGGUAGAAAUUCUCCUAGCUACUCGAUUGUAAAUCAAUGGCUCACCUUCGCCUCUCGAGACUUUAGUACUGACUCUCCUCACUCCCUCGUUACCUUCGCCUCUCAAGACUUCUGGACGCUUUGACUGCGACCGCCUCUCCUCACUCUUGCCAUCUCGUCCCUCCUCCUCCUCGCUCCCUCCGCAUCUUCCAUCUUCAAGUUGCUUCGUCUUCCAUCGUUUCGUCCUUACGACAUCAUCCGCUUUGAGAAAUUCGUCGCUUUCUUCAUCGGCUCCGCUUCUUCCUCGAGUUGUCAAAUUAGAAAAAGGUUCGCUUUCCUUUUUCCCCAAGUUGUGUGCUUGCGGCGGAUCUGCCUUCUUCCGCUUCGGCUGUCUCCCCAAUUUCCCAUCUUAUUAUUCCCUUGGCACCCCCACGGCCCCACAUUCCCUUUGGGCAGCACACCAGCUCCACACAUCUGACCUGUUGGGUUUGUGUUCUAUUCGGUGUUUGCCAAGUCCCAUUACCCAUUUUCACUUAUCCCAAAUCGGCCAGAGGAUAGGUUCUGUGCUUUCCUUUUAUUUUCCCCAAUUUCUCCAUUCCCCCCCUUCUAUAGUCUCCUUAGAUCAGGUUCUGCAGAUAAAAGCACCAGAAAAUGAACAUCCAAGCAACUCAUUGACAAACGAAACUGAACUUUCUUCGUUUUUAACCAUGUUGAGAAGUACCCUUGCUCCUUAAGGACUACACCAGCGAGGUCCCUCAUCCACUUGAAGGACGUCGUCAUUGGUUCACUAAUGAAAACAUUGUGUAUGCCUAAAACCUCAAGAUAUGUUGGCAACCAUCGGAGUACAGGUUUCAAGAAAAUGUGAAUUCCAUGAAAAUACAGACACCGGGCCCAUAUUACACAAUGACAUGGUUUAAGCUGACAAAGAGGCAAGGACUAAUUAUCCUUUUUCCUAAUAACGUGACUCCUGCUUAGCCAGUUACAAUUUCAAGUAUGCUUAGCCAGUUACCAUCACACACCAAACAUUUAUCUUAAACAUCUCUACUAUCACUUUGUGCCAAUACUAUUUUACCUUCAAUUGCACUAUUCUUUCCAUUUGUUUCUUAAAGAACGUACGCUCCACACGCUGCCAACAAAUACUCAAAAAAUGAAUAUCAAUUAAUAAAUUACCAUAAUUUUAUGAAACUCUUCGUUUUUUUGCUUUUGUUUGUUACGUAUGUUUGCAAACCUGCUUCUCUGUCUAUUUUUCUUGAAAAAUGAUUUGAUUACAAAAAACAAUCCCUUGCCGCUAUUCUAUAAUGUCAAAGAAAAACGAAUAAUCCGUCACAAAAAGUCACGGACUUUGACGUUCCCAUGUAAGUUUUAUUUUCUCCUGACAAAAAACACUUAAAAUUCCUUUACUAUGUAACUCUCUAUUGGACAAUGAUGUAGGUUGUUAAGUCUGUUACGUUCUCAGAUGUAGACAACACUAUGUAAGUAUAUUUACAUUACCAUUCCAUUGGUCUCACUAUUAUGUGCUGGCACUAAACACUCCUAUUUAAUAUCAUUCAUUUACAUGUUUCAAACCCAUAAACCAAUAGGAGAAAGAACUGAAAACAGACGUUGAAUCUGGCUCUUCACCAGCUUAAUGCAAUAUAUUUACAUUCCACCAUACUUAACUGUUCAAUCAAACUUCAUUGUAGGGCAAAGACUUUUUUACCAUCCAAUACUCCUGAAAGUUCCGCCAACACAUUAGAAAGCCCUGCAAAAAAGGUUCUUACAGCACUUUUUUAAUUUUGAACUGAAAGCAUUUUCUUUACAAUGCCAAAUAUUUCCACUUAACACAUUCCUCAUAAAAAACAUCACCAUAGGCUCAAACAGACCUCCCCCAAAAUGUUUUAGGGAAACAAAGAACCAUGUAUCAUAUGAAAUUACUCUCCACCUUAAAUAUAACGACUACAGUUUUUUUUAGAAAUGGUAAUUUCAUUAACAUAUGUUAUUAGUGGGUACUUCCAAUACAUGUCCUUUAAUUAUGGAUGGUUGACAGUCUCGAAGACGUUUUUAGAUCAGCGUGGACUGGCCUUGAUAUGUAAAAAAGAAGUAUUACACAUAUAACAUAGCCGUUUUUAUUCCCUCUACUGUGUAACUCUCUAACUCUCUAUUGAAUUAUGUUGCAGGUUGCUAAAUCUAUUGCAUUUUUAGAUGAUGUCAAUACCAUGAACAAUUUAAUUGAUGCCCGCACUUGGAUAUGACAUGUGAUGAUUUUAUUGACUGUACGUCAAACUGAAAUUGCGAACAACUUAUUGUAAUACACAACUACUAUAUUUUGUAUGAUGUUUACUUUUGUCUUCUGUGCAAUGUCUGCUAUGCUCUUACAAUAACAUCA